GUGUUCUUGAUUUGGCACGAUCUUGAUAUAUCGCGAGCUUUGCUAUUAUAGUUGGAUCUUAUGUUUCUUCUCCCCCUCUUCUCUCUUGUAAUGGAUUGAGUUUUCCCUUUGAAGUAAUCUUAUCGGAUUAAGUCUUUGAAGAUUUGAGAACACUUGAUGUAUGUCUUGCCGUGCGUAUCUGUGGUGACAAUGGAAUAUCACAUGAUUCACUUGAUGUAUGUUUUGGUGAUCAACUUGCGGGUUCUGCCCAUGAACCUAUGCAUAGGGGUUGGCACACGUUUUCGUCAUGAUUCUCCGGUAGAAACUUUGGGGCACUCUUUGAGGUUCUAUGUGUUGGUUUGAAUGGAUGAAUUAAGAUUGUGUGAUGCAUAUCGUAUAAUCAUGCCCACAGAUACUUGAGGUGAAAAUGGAGUAUCUAGGUGACAUUAGGGUUUUGGUUGAUUUGUGUCUUAAGAUGUUAUUCUAGUACGAACUCUAGGGCUGUUUGUGACACUUAUAUGAAUAUCCCAAUGGAUUGAUUGGAAAGAAUAACUUUGAGGUGGUUUCGUACCCUACCAUAAUCCCUUCGUUUGUUCUCCGCUAUUAGUGACUUUGGAGUGACUCUUUGUUGCAUGUUGAGGGAUAGUUAUAUGAUCCAAUUAUGUUAUUAUUGUUGAGAGAACUUGCACUAGUGAAAGUAUGAACCCUAGGCCUUGUUUCCUACCAUUGCAAUACCAUUUACGCUCACUUUUAUUGCUUGUUACCUUGUUGUUUUUAUAUUUUCAGUUUACAAAAACCUAUAUCUACCAUCCAUAUUGCACUUGUAUCACCAUCUCUUCGCCGAACUAGUGCACCUAUACAAUUUACCAUUGUAUUGGGUGUGUUGGGGACACAAGAGACUUUUUGUUAUUUGGUUGCAGGGUUGCUUGAGAGAGACCAUCUUCAUCCUACGCCUCCCACAGAUUGAUAAACCUUAGGUCAUCCACUUGAGGGAAAUUUGCUACUGUCCUACAAACCUCUGCACUUGGAGGCCCAACAACGCCUACAAGAAGAAGGGUGUGUAGUAGACAUCAAGCUCUUUUCUGGCGCCGUUGUCGGGGAGGUUAGUGCUUGAAGGUAUAUCUUUAGAUCUUGCGAUCGAAUCUUUUUGUUUCUUGUUUUAGCACUAGUGUAGUUUAUAAAAGAAAACUACAAAAAAAUGGAAUUGAGUUUGUCUCAUAUGCUUCACCUUUUUAAUAUCUUUCGUGAGUAUGAUGGAAAAGAAAAUUGUGCCAAAGUGUUAGAAGAAGAAUGCAUUAAAAUGUUUGGCACUAAACCUUUGAAUGAUGAGCAUGAUUGCAAUGUUGUUAGUAUGAACUCCUUGAAUGUACGGUACUAAUGAUGAUUGCACUAGUUAUGACGAAAAUGUCUCCUAUAAACAUGUCAAUUUUUGUGGAGUGGAUUGGGUUUGCAAGUACACACCAAAUAGGGAAGAUAGAUAUUGCAAGAGGCAUAAGUACUUAGAAACUAAAUUGUUGCAAGAAAGUCUUGAUGAUUGCGCUGAAAGAUUCAAUAUUUUUCGCGCCCCUUGUGAACUUUGCAAUGAACAUGGUCAUUUAAAGCUCCAAUGCUAUUUGUUUUAUGAUCAAGUCGUGUCCAAAUAUUGUGAUAAUUUGAUUACCCUUGAGCAUCAUAAAGAACUUAGCCUUCUUUUGGGUUAUAAAUAAAUGAAACGUAUAACUGAGGGUAUUCCAAAAUUUAAUCUUGAUAAAAUUCUUGAUUUUGAUCUAGAGAAGAUUUAUAUGUAUUGUACGGUGAAUUGCAUUAAAAAUCCUUACAUUGACAAUUACAUAAAGAAAAGAAAAAAAUAGAAGAAUAAGAGAAUGCUAAUGAAAGGGAAGAGACUUCCCAAUAUCCUCCUAUUAUUUCUUAUGAUAAAUCAGGUAACGAGAAGGAGCCUUCUAUUCAACCAAUCUCAUUAUUAAGGAGCUCCAAAAGGAGGAUUGAACCCACACAUGAUGUGGUGAAGAAGAAGAAAAGAAAAAGGAAGAGAGGUAAAAUGGUAUCUCUCCUAAAUAAGAUUGCUCCUAUUAUUGUUGUGCCUCAUGAAAAUGAAUCAAAAAUAAUUGUGGGAGAUGAUGCAUUUGAUGAUGAUCUAGUUAUGCCUAUUGCUUGUUGUGAUGAUUAUGAUUGGGAAGAUAAUGAUACUCCUUAUGAUCUUGAAAAUCUUUUUGGCACUUGCUUGGAAGAAUAUAAUAAUUGCUAUACUAUUGGUGUUAUCCAUACUAUUAAUGAUGAGAGUGAUUAUGCUUAUGAUAUGAAAAGGCCCAAGCUUGGGGAAGCUAUGUUUGAUGAAGAUGAUGUUUUUGAGAAUAUAUUUGCUGCUAUUAAUGUUUGUCCCAAGCUUGGGGAUGCUACGUUUAAUAAUGAUGAUAUUUUUAGCCUCUCAAGUUUUGAUAUGCAAAGUUGUUAUGAUGAUAGCAUGCCUUCUACCUAUGAUGAUUAUAUUGAUGAAAGUGGAUUUGGAAGAGUGUCAACUUUAGGAAGUAAUGAUCCCACUAUUUUGGAGUAUGUUGAAUCUUAUAAUAUUUAUGAAAGUGGAUUUGGAGAGGUCAUGACUUUAUUUAGUGAUGUAUCGACUAUUUCAGAAGAGGUUUCAAUCGAUUAUGAUGAGAACAAAGUUGCUACCUAUGAUGAUUAUUGUGAUGAAACUUAUGCUAUAAAAAAUAGUGAUGAUUAUAUUUAUAAAACUUGUCAUGAUUAUGAUUACCCUUUUUCUGAACAUUACUCUUUUAAUGUGGAAACAAUUUAUAGUAUUCAAGUCUCUUAUAAUACUCCCACUAUUCCGAAUGAGAAGAAAUUUGCUUAUGUGGAGAGUAAUAAAAUUUCUAUGCUAAUAGAUCAUGAAAAGGAUGCUUUAGGUGCUGGCUAUAUUGUUGAAUUCAUUCAUGAUUCUACUGAAAAUUAUUAUGAAAGAGGAUCAUAUGCUUCUACAUAUUGCAAUAAUAUCAAGUUUUCUCUCUAUGUGCUUAAAAUCUUGAAGUUAUGCUUGUUUUACCUUCCUAUGCAAGUUGAUUCUUGUUCCCAUAAGUUGUUUGCUCACAAAAUCCCUAUGCAUAGGAAGUGGGUUAGACUUAAAUGUGCUAGUCAUAUUCUUCAUGAUGCUCCCUUUAUAUUUCAAUUCUUAUCUUUUUGUGAGCAUCAUUGAAAUCAUCAUGCCUAGCUACGGGCGUUAAACGAUAGCGCUGGUUGGGAGGCAACCCAUCUUUAUUUUAGUUUCUUGCUUUUUAGUUCUGUUUAGGAAUAAAUAAUCCAUCUAGCUUCUGUUUAGAUGUGGUUUUGUGUUUCAAUUAGUGUUUGUGCCAAGUAGAACCUUUGGGAAGACUUGAGUGAAGUCUUUAUGAUCAUGCUGUAAAAAAUAGAAACUUUAGCGCUCACGAGAUUAGCUAAAACGUUUUACUGGAGAGCGCUAUUUAGUUGAUUCUUUUUGCAGAUGAUUACUAGACAAAUUCCUCAGGUCCACCAAUUUAUUUUAGAAUUUUUGGAGUUCCAUAAGUUUGCGUUAGUUAUAGAUUACUACAGACUGUUAUGUUUUUGACAUAUUCUGUUUUCAUUGUGUUGCUUGCUUAUUUUGAUGAAUCUAUGGCUAGUAAAAUAGUUUAUAAACCAUAAAGAAGUUGGAAUACAGUAGGUUUAACACCAAUAUAAAUAAAGAAUGAGUUCAUUACAGUACGUUGAAGUGAUGUUUUGUUUUCUUUCACUAACGGAGCUUACGAGUUUUCUGUUAAGUUUUGUGUUGUGAAGUUUUCAAGUUUUGGGUAAUGAUUCGAUGGACUAUGGAAUAAGGAAUGGCAAGAGUCUAAGCUUGGGGAUGCCCCGGAAGGCAUCCCCUCUUUCGUCUUCGUUCAUCGGUAACUUUACUUGGAGCUAUAUUUUUAUUCACCACAUGAUAUGUGUUUUGCUUGGAGCGUCAUUUUAUUUCCGUUAGUUUUGCUUGCUGUUUAAAUAAAAUACCAAGAUCUGAAAUUCUUAAAUGUUAGGGAGUCUUCACAUAGUUGCAUAAUUAUUCGACUACUCAUUGAUCUUCACUUAUAUCUUUCGGAGUAGUUUGUUGUUUGCUCUAGUGCUUCAUUUAUAUCUUUUAGAGCAUGGUGGUAGUUUUAUUUUGAAGAAAUAGAUGAACUCUCAUGCUUCACUUAUAUUAUUUUGAGAGUCUUAAAUAUCAUGGUAAUUUGCUUAAAUAAUCCUAAUAUGCUAAGCAUACAAGAUUUGUAGAAUUCUUAUGAGUGUGUUGAAUACUAAGAAAAGUUCAAUGCUUGAUAAUUGUUUUGAGAUAUGAAGAUGGUGAUAUUAGAGUCAUGCUAGUUGAGUAGUUGUGAAUUUGAGAAAUACUUGUGUUAAAGUUUGUGAUUUCCGUAGCAUGCACGUAUGGUGAACAGUUAUGUGAUGAAGUCGAAGCAUGAUUUAUUUAUUGAUUGUCUUCCUUAUGAGUGGCGGCCGGGAACGAGCGAUGGUCUUUUCCUACUAAUCUAUCCCCCUAGAAGCAUGCGCGUAAUACUUUGCUUUGAUAACUUCUAGAUUUUUGCAAUGAGUAUAUGAGUUCUUUAUGACUAAUGUUGAGUCCAUGGAUUAUACACACUUUCCUUCCUUCCACCAUUGCUAACCUCUCUAAUACCGCGCACUUUUCGCCGUUAUCAUACACCCACCAUAUACCUUCCUGAAAACAGCCACCAGACCUACCUAUCAUGGCAUUUUCAUAGCCAUUCCGAGAUAUAUUGCCAUGCAACUUUCCACCGUUUCAUUUAUUAUGACACGCUCCAUCAUUGUCAUAUUGCUAGCAUGAUCAUGUAGUUGACAUCGUAUUUGUGGCAAAGCCACUAUUCAUAAUUCUUUCAUACAUGUCACUUUUGAUUCAUUGCAUAUCCCGGCACACCGCCGGAGGCAUUCAUAUAGAGUCAUAUUGUUGUUCUAAGUAUUGAGUUGUAAUUCUUGAGUUGUAAGAAAAAUAAAAGUGUGAUGAUCAUCAUUAUUAGAUCAUUGUCCCAGUGAGGAAAGGAUGAUGGAGACUAUGAUUCCCCCACAAGUCGGGAUGAGACUCCGAACGAAAAAAAAGAAAAAAAAAGAAAAAAGAGGCCUAAAAAAGAGAAAAGGCCCGAAAAAAUGAGAGAAAAAGAGAGAAGGGGCAAUACUACUAUCCUUUUACCGCACUUGUGCUUCAAAGUAGCACCAUGAUCUUCAUGAUAAAGAGUCUCCUAUGAUAUCACUUUCAUAUACUAGUGGGAUUUUUUAUUAUAGAAUUUGGCUUGUAUAUUCCAAUGAUGGGCUUCCUCAAAAUGCCCUAGGUCUUCGUGAGCAAGCGAGUUGGAUGCACACCCACUUAAUUUCUUUUGUUAAGCUUUCAAACACUUAUAGCUCUAGUGCAUCCGUUGCAUGGCAAUCCCUACUCACUCACAUUGAUAUCUAUUGAUGGGCAUCUCCAUAGCCCGUUGAUACGCCAAGUUAUGUGAGACUAUCUUCUCCCUUUUUGUCUUCUCCACAAUCACCAUAUUCCACAUAUAGUGCUAUAUCCAUAGCUCACGCUCAUGUAUUGCGUGAAGAUUGAAAAUUUUGAGAAUGUCAAAAGUAUGAAACAAUUGCUUGGCUUGUCAUCGGGGUUGUGCAUGAUUUAAAUACUUUGUGUAGUGAAGAUAGAGCAUAGCCAGACUAUAUGAUUUUAUAGGGAUAACUUUCUUUGGCCAUGUUAUUUUGAGAAGACAUAAUUGCUUUGUUAGUAUGCUUGAAGUAUUAUUAUUUUUAUGUCAAUAUGAACUUUUGUCUUGAAUCAUUCGGAUCUGAAUAUUCGUACCAUAAUUAAGAAGAAUUACAUUGAAAUUAUGCCAACUAGCAUUCCACAUCAAAAAUUAUCUUUUUUUAUCAUUUACCUACUCGAGGACGAGCAGGAAUUAAGCUUGGGGAUGCUUGAUACGUCUCCAACGUAUCCAUAAUUUUUGAUUGCUCCAUGCUAUAUUAUCUACUGUUUUAGACAAUAUUGGGAUUUAUUAUCCACUUUUAUAUUAUUUUUGGGACUAACCUAUUAACCGGAGGCCCAGCCCAGAAUUGCUGGGUUUUUUUUGCCUAUUUCAGUGUUUUGAAGAAAAGGAAUAUUAAACGGAGUCGAAACGAAACGAAAUCAACUGGAAAAAUUAUUUUUGGAUGGAAAGCUACCGGAUGGACUUGGACCCCACGUUAGGAGCCAAGGGAGGUGCUCACGAGGGUGGGGGGGGGGGGGCGCCCACCCCCCUAGGGCGCGCCCCCUGCCUCGUGGGCCCCCCGAAGCUCCACCGACGUACUCCCUGCAUCCAUAUAUACCUACGUACCCUAAAACUUCCAGAACAGAGAUUAAAUCGGGAGUUCCGCCGCUGCAAGCCUCUGUAGCCACCAAAAGUCAAUCGGGACCCUGUUCCGGCACCCUGCCGGAGGGGGGAACCCUCACCGGUGGCCAUCUUCAUCAUCCCGACGCUCUCCAUGACGAGGAGGGAGUAGUUCACCCUCGGGGUUAAGGGUAUGUACCAGUAGCUAUGUGUUUGAUCUCUCUCUCUCUCUAUCUCUCUCUCGUGUUCUUGAUUUGGCACGAUCUUGAUGUAUCGCGAGCUUUGCUAUUAUAGUUGGAUCUUAUGUUUCUUCUCCCCCUCUUCUCUCUUGUAAUGGAUUGAGUUUUCCCUUUGAAGUAAUCUUAUCGAAUUAAGUCUUUGAAGAUUUGAGAACACUUGAUGUAUGUCUUGCCGUGCGUAUCUGUGGUGACAAUGGGAUAUCACAUGAUUCACUUGAUGUAUGUUUUGGUGAUCAACUUGCGGGUUCUGCCCAUGAACCUAUGCAUAGGGGUUGGCACACGUUUUCGUCGUGAUUCUCCGGUAGAAACUUUGGGGCACUCUUUGAGGUUCUAUGUGUUGGUUUGAAUGGAUGAAUUGAGAUUGUGUGAUGCAUAUCGUAUAAUCAUGCCCACAGAUACUUGAGGUGACAAUGGAGUAUCUAGGUGACAUUAGGGUUUUGGUUGAUUUGUGUCUUAAGAUGUUAUUCUAGUACGAACUCUAGGGCUGUUUGUGACACUUAUAUGAAUAUCCCAAUGGAUUGAUUGGAAAGAAUAACUUUGAGGUGGUUUCGUACCCUACCAUAAUCCCUUCGUUUGUUCUCCGCUAUUAGUGACUUUGGAGUGACUCUUUGUUGCAUGUUGAGGGAUAGUU
rnacentral:lncRNA from 1 species